UACGGGGGGGGGCAAGCGUUGUUCGGAAUUACUGGGCGUAAAGGGCUCGUAGGCGGCCAACUAAGUCAGACGUGAAAUCCCCAGGCUCAACCUGGGAACUGCGUCUGAUACUGGAUGGCUUGAAUCCGGGAGAGGGAUGCAGAAUUCCAGGUGUAGCGGUGAAAUGCGUAGAUAUCCGGCGGAACACCGGUGGUGAAGACGGUCUCCUGGGCCGAGGGCCGACGCUGAGGCGCGAGAGCGUGGGGAGCGAACCGG
rnacentral:rRNA from 1 species